AUUGGUGUCUUUCUCCUAUAUUGAGUCCUGUUUUGUAAACCUACGGUGCGGUAUCUGGAGUUCUUUUCAAGGGAAGUCUUUCUGAAUCCAGAGAAAGAUACCAAAACGCAGGAUACCAUUUUUAUGUUUUUAAAACCAACCCGUUUCUUUUCUUUCUUACAUGGAACUGGGAGACGUGAUGUAGCGUUCAGCGGAGCAGAGGACGCGGUGUGCAAAAGUGCCACGGUAAAGCAAAGCGAUCUGGAUUUAAACAAGGAGCCUUUUCACUGACCAAUAUUAUCAAUAAAAUAAGAGGAUAUUGGACAUUUAUGGCAAACCUACUUUGCAGAGAAAUUACGAGUGGAGUUUACUGAACCAAGUCCUUGGUUUCCCUUGUCGCUGUUUCGUUGGUGACAGAGUAUCUGCAUGUUAUUUUUCCGGGCAAGGACGUUACUCAUUGGAAAAAAGACAGUUUAAUCUUAGCAGUUUCAACGCUGAUGUGUUUUAAUGGCAGGACUUCACUGCGGGCUCGUGUCGGAGCUCUGAAACACGGAGUGUCCAGUGUCCAGUCCCGUCCUGUGAUGCGCAGGUUUGGGACCAUCAGCUGCUGAGCCGCAGGACAUUGUGUAAGAGAGGAUAUCCUUACCUUAUUAAGGUUAAUGAACACCUGGGACAGAGGGAGGAAGGGAGAAACAGAGAGAGAGAGAGAAUAAGGAGAGGAAGUCAGGACACCAUGACGAGCGAAAGAAUUUCCAGAUCAUAUCACAUAUGAACAGUUCAUUCAACCAGUGAAGGUAGCCAAGCAUCACGCUAAGG